GGAAGAAUUGCACCCUGAAAAAAGAGCGGAAAGGCAUCACUGGAUAAGCCACAAGAGAGCGCUGUGAGGGAUGCAGCUCUAUCCUUGGUUUUUGAACGUCACUUCAAUCAUGCCUUCUCACAGACCCUGGUGGCACAUGAUCCACUGGAUCCAGAACUUUCUGGAUCAGCCCUGAAGCAGAGCUGUGAGCCAUGUGUUUUGUCAGCCUCUGCUAUUUUCUGAAGGGUAAGAUCAGAAUCUUUCCUCUUUUGAGAUCUUGGGAUCUUCCAGCAUUAGUGUCCAAGUCUGUACUCGGCAACAAUAAUCUGUGAGUUCAGGCCAAAUGAAGAACCAAAGGAACGCCGUAGAGCUCCACAGUACCUUCAGAAGGAGCCCAAGAAGAUAAAAUUCAUAUCUUUAAGAAGAUCUUAUAUUUAAGAAUCUGUUGUUUCUGAAUUUUUCACAAAUAAAAAAUACUGAAUUCUCAUAAAAUGAUGUUUUUUGA